rnacentral:rRNA from 1 species
GACGAACGCUGGCGGCGUGCCUAAUACAUGCAAGUUGAGCGAUGAAGCUUGGUGCUUGCUCCAAUUUGAAGAGCAGCGAACGGGUGAGUAACGCGUGGGGAAUCUGCCUUUGAGCGGGGGACAACAUUUGGAAACGAAUGCUAAUACCGCAUAACAACUUUAAACAUAAGUUUUAAGUUUGAAAGAUGCAAUUGCAUCACUCAAAGAUGAUCCCGCGUUGUAUUAGCUAGUUUGUGAGGUAAAGGCUCACCAAGGCGAUGAUACAUAGCCGACCUGAGAGGGGGAUCGGCCACAGUGGGACUGAGACACGGCCCAAACUCCUACGGGAGGCAGCAGUAGGGAAUCUUCGGCAAUGGACGAAAGUCUGACCGAGCAACGCCGCGUGAGUGAAGAAGGUUUUCGGAUCGUAAAACUCUGUUAGUAGAGAAGAACGUUGGUGAGAGUGGAAAGCUCAUCAAGUGACGGUAACUACCCAGAAAGGGACGGCUAACUACGUG